AUGGAGCGUCAUCCACAUGGAGAUGCAGAGAAUGGCCUCCACACCUGUAAGUGGCGCUAUAACUCCCCGCUCUCGAGUCUUGUUUCGCGUCUAGUUCUCAUGGUGUUGAUGUGCCGACACAAGAAUAUUUUGGAAGAAAACGUGUUGUGUGGACGAGGCCUGAGUGUGAUGGACACUAUUGGAUUUUUUUUUCUUCUACAGCAUUUAUGUUUUUCCAGCUGGUAUCAACCAUCUGUGGGGCUCUGUCUGAACUCUGCACCAUCAGAUCCUGCCCUGCAGCUACUGGACCUGGAAAAAGGUUCUACACACACACUACUCCUCUACUCAACUCCUACUGUUCAUUACUUCUCCCUUACUCAACUCCUACCAUUCAUUACUUCUCCCUUACUCAACUCCUACAGUUCAUUACCGCUCCCUUACUCAACUCCUAACGUUCAUUACUUCUCCAUUACUCAACUGCUACAGUUCAUUACUUCUCCCUUACUCAACUGCUACAGUUCAUUACUUCUCCCUUACUCAACUCAUACAGUUUAUUACUUCUCCCUUACUCAACUCUUACAGUUCAUUACUUCUCCCUUACUCAACUCUUACAGUUCAUUACUUCUCCCUUACUCAACUCUUACAGUUCAUUACUUCUCCCUUACUCAACCCCUACAGUUCAUUACUUCUCCCUUACUCAACUCUUACAGUUCAUUACUUCUCCCUUACUCAACUCUUACAGUUCAUUACUUCUCCCUUACUCACUUCUUACAGUUCAUUACUUCUCCCUUACUCAACUCAUACAGUUCAUUACUUCUCCCUUACUCAACCCCUACAGUUCAUUACUUCUCCCUUACUCAACUCUUACAGUUCAUUACUUCUCCCUUACUCAACCCCUACAGUUCAUUACUUCUCCCUUACUCAACUCUUACAGUUCAUUACUUCUCCCUCACUCAACUGCUACAGUUCAUUACUUCUCCCUUACUCAACUCUUACAGUUCAUUACUUCUCCCUUACUCAACUCCUACCAUUCAUUACUUCUCCCUUACUCAACUCUUACAGUUCAUUACCACUCCCUUACUCAACUCCUACCAUUCAUUACUUCUCCUUUACUCAACUCCUACAGUUCAUUACCGCUCCCUUACUCAACUCCUAACGUUCAUUACUUCUCCAUUACUCAACUGCUACAGUUCAUUACUUCUCCCUUACUCAACUGCUACAGUUCAUUACUUCUCCCUUACUCAACUCCUACCAUUCAUUACUUCACCCUUACUCAACUCCUACAGUUCAUUAUUUCUCCCUUACUCAACUCAUGCAGUUUAUUACCGCUCCCUUACUCAACUCCUACAGUUCAUUACUUCUCCCUUACUCAACUCAUACAGUUUAUUACCGCUCCCUUACUCAACUCCUACAGUUAAUUAUUUUUCCCUUACUCAACUCCUACCAUUCAUUACUUCUCCCUCACUCGACUGCUACAGUUCAUUACUUCUCCCUUACUCAACUCUUACAGUUUAUUACCGCUCCCUUACUCAACUCUUACAGUUCAUUACUUCUCCCUUACUGAACUCCUACAGUUCAUUACUUCUCCCUUACUCAACUCUUACAGUUCAUUACUUCUCCCUUAACUCAACUCUUACAGUUCAUUACUUCUCCCUUACUCAACUCCUACCAUUCAUUAUUUCUCCCUUACUGAACUCUUACAGUUCAUUACUUCUCCCUUACUCAACCCCUACAGUUCAUUACCUCUCCCUUACUCAACUCUUACAGUUCAUUACCUCUCCCUUACUCAACUCUUACAGUUCAUUACUUCUCCCUUACUCAACUCCAACAGUUCAUUAG
ensembl:lncRNA